rnacentral:rRNA from 1 species
CCUACGGUGUGCUGCAGUGGGGAAUAUUGCACCAUGGGGGAAACCCUGAUGCAGCGACGCCGCGUGAAGGAAGAAGUCUUUCGGUUUGUAAACUUCUAUCAGCAGGGAAGAAAAUGACGGUACCUGACUAAGAAGCCCCGGCUAACUACGUGCCAGCAGCCGCGGUAAUACGUAGGGGGCAAGCGUUAUCCGGAUUUACUGGGUGUAAAGGGAGCGUAGGCGGUUUAGCAAGGCAGAAGUGAAAGCCCGGGGCUCAACUCCGGGACUGCUUUUGAAACUGUUGGACUAGAGUGCAGGAGAGGUAAGUGGAAUUCCUAGUGUAGCGGUGAAAUGCGUAGAUAUCAGGAGGAACACCAGUGGCGAAGGCGGCUUACUGGACUGUAAAUGACGCUGAGGCUCGAAAGCGUGGGGAGCAAACAGGAUUAGAUACCCCAGUAGUC